CAGCAGACACAUUCCAGCCAAUCAGCAGCAGACCCUCCCUCCCAGACCCUCCCACCUCCUGGACAGCAUCCAUUGUGAAGCUGCAUUCUUAGUGAGCUGUCCAGGAGGUGGGAGGGUCUGGGAGGGAGGGUCGGCUGCUGAUUGGCUGGAAGGUGUCUGCU
rnacentral:miRNA from 1 species